rnacentral:lncRNA from 1 species
CACCCCCACCCCCUCUCCCCCCCACACCCCACACACACACACACAAAAAAAACUUUUAAAAAACCAAACAAUCUCUUUAAUUUCCAAAAAAAUUUGACCAUGGUGGUGUUGUCUAGGCAAGUAGUUAAUGAACAAUUAUCCUCCAUAAUCAAGAAUUACAAAUCCCCUUUCCCUUGUAAUAAUUAUAUUCCACAAAUUGAUAUUUCAAAACCAGAAAGCAAGAAUCAACUUGUUAAAGCUUGUGAAGAAUUUGGUUUCUUUAAAGUUGUAAAUCAUGGUGUCCCUAUGGAAUUUAUUACAAAACUUGAAUUAGAAGCCAUAAAAUUCUUUUCAUCUCCAAUGUCUCAAAAAAGAAAAAAUAGGACCCCUUGACCCUUUUGGCUAUGGGAAUAAGAAAAUUGGACCUAAUGGUGAUGUUGGUUGGGUUGAAUACAUUCUUUUGUCAACAAAUUCUGACUUCAAUUACCAAAAAUUUGCAUCUAUUUUGGGUCUCAAUCCAAAAGAUAUAAGAGAUGCUGUGAAUGAUUAUGUACUAGCAAUGAAGAAAAUGGCUUGUGAGAUUCUUGAAAUGUUAGCUGAGGGAUUAAAAAUUCAUCCAAAAAAUGUAUUUAGUAAGCUUUUAAUGGAUGAAAAAAGUGAUUCACUUUUUAGGUUAAAUCAUUAUCCUCCAUGUCCUGAUGAAUUUCAAGAAUAUAAUGGAAGAAAUUUAAUUGGAUUUGGUGAACAUACUGAUCCACAAAUUAUUUCUUUAUUAAGAUCUAAUAACACUUGUGGACUUCAAAUUUCACUUGUUGAUGGACAUUGGAUUUCUGUCCCACCUGAUCAAAAUUCAUUCUUCAUCAAUGUUGGUGAUUCAUUGCAGGUGAUGACAAAUGGGAGGUUUAAGAGUGUAAAACAUAGAGUUUUGGCCAAUAGUGUAAAAUCAAGACUCUCAAUGAUUUAUUUUGGAGGACCACCAUUGAGUGAAAAGAUAGCACCAUUGGCAUCACUAUUAAUAAAAGGGGAUGAAGACAGCUUGUACAAAGAAUUUACAUGGUUUGAGUACAAAAAUUCAGCAUAUAAAUCUAGAUUGGCUGAUAAUAGGUUGGUCCUAUUUGAGAAAUUAAAGUAGUAUAGCCUCAUCAUAAUGAUUUUUUCUUUUCUUUUUGUUCAUAGCAACUAUGGGUAGUCAAAUAGUGAUUUUUCCAUAGAUAGAAUUUCUCUUUUUUAUGUCACGAGUUCGAAUAGUGAAAGCAAUUCUCAAUCUUUGUAUUAAGGUAGACUGUGUAUAUCACGUCUCUUAAAGCAUGGUCCUUUCUCGGAUCUUGCUAACACGAAAUAUUUUAGUUUUAUGUAUCAA